AGAUCAGCUUCCAUGAUGUAGCGGGAGAAGAAAUGGACAUAAGAGGAACAAGGUCCAGUGUGUCAUCCCUCUUCUUACUCUGAUCAUUCUCACAUUCGUCUCUAAGUUUCUUGAGGGUGGAUGCUCCGUAAAUGCUGAUUGACUAAUGAAUUAAUUCUAUGACACGGCCAUGCUUAUCAUGAUACCUCAUGUGGACCACACAAUCAAUUCCAGAAUGAUAAGGUAAAGUGAAUAACUGCUCCCUUGGAAGACACAACGCAUGUUUCAGAACUGAGUAGUAUAUCUUCAAAUAGUAACGAUUACUGCUAAUAUUGACAGAGUGCACAUAUUGCCCA
rnacentral:lncRNA from 1 species